rnacentral:rRNA from 1 species
UCAGAUGUGAAAGCCCCGGGCUUAACCUGGGAACGGCAUCUGAUACUGUUAGGCUAGAGUAGGUGAGAGGAAGGUAGAAUUCCAGGUGUAGCGGUGAANUGCGUAGAGAUCUGGAGGAAUACCGAUGGCGAAGGCAGCCUUCUGGCAUCAUACUGACACUGAGGUUCGAAAGCGUGGGUAGCAAACAGGAUUAGAUACCCUGGUAGUCCACGCCGUAAACGAUGUCUACUAGUCGUUGGGUCCCUUGAGGACUUAGUGACGCAGCUAACGCAAUAAGUAGACCGCCUGGGGAGUACGGCCGCAAGGUUAAAACUCAAAUGAAUUGACGGGGGCCCGCACNAGCGGUGGAGCAUGUGGUUUAAUUCGAUGCAACGCGAAGAACCUUACCUGGUCUUGACAUAUCUAGAAUCCUGCAGAGAUGCGGGAGUGCCUUCGGGAAUUAGAAUACAGGUGCUGCAUGGCNGUCGUCAGCUCGUGUCGUGAGAUGUUGGGUUAAGUCCCGCAACGAGCGCAACCCUUGUCCUUAGUUACCAGCGGUUUGGCCGGGAACUCUAAGGAUACUNCCAGUGACAAACUGGAGGAAGGCGGGGACGACGUCAAGUCAUCAUGGCCCUUACGACCAGGGCUACACACGUGCUACAAUNGUAGGUACAGAGGGCAGCUACACAGCGAUGUGAUGCGAAUCUCAAAAAGCCUAUCGUAGUCCAGAUUGGAGUCUGCAACUCGACUCCAUGAAGUAGGAAUCGCUAGUAAUCGCGGAUCAGAAUGCCGCGGUGAAUACGUUCCCGGGCCUUGUACACACCGCCCGUCACACCAUGGGAGUUGAUUGCACCAGAAGUGGGUAGCCUAACCUUUUAGGA